rnacentral:rRNA from 1 species
GGAUUAGAUACCCUGGUAGUCCACGCCGUAAACGUUGGGCGCUAGGUGUGGGGAACCUUCCACGUUCUCCGUGCCGUAGCUAACGCAUUAAGCGCCCCGCCUGGGGAGUACGGCCGCAAGGCUAAAACUCAAAGGAAUUGACGGGGGCCCGCACAAGCGGCGGAGCAUGCGGCUUAAUUCGAUGCAACGCGAAGAACCUUACCUGGGCUUGACAUAUAGGGAAAUCUCAUAGAGAUAUGAGGUCCGCAAGGGUCCUAUACAGGUGGUGCAUGGCUGUCGUCAGCUCGUGCCG